GCCUAAGUUAGCUUAGUUGGUAGUGCGUCUGCCUUGUAAGCGCUAGGCCGCGGGUUCGAUUCCCGCCCGGGGCG
rfam:Asian citrus Psyllid, Diaphorina citri - Florida Strain, whole genome shotgun sequence.